AUGGCAGCAGCAAUUCCCAGCGCCACCCGGAUCAGCCGAGACGACUGCUACUGCACCGAGCCCGGCUGUGGCUUCCAGGCCCCGCCGCGGGCGCUCCUCGACCACCUCGUCGCCGUGCACUCCCUACGCGCGGCCAGAAUCACCUACGGAGACCAGUACGAGCUCGCCGUGCCGGCGUCGGCGCGCCGGGUCCUCCUGCUCGCGGAGAAGGACGAGCGCGUGUUCCUCCUGGCCGUGGGCGACGCCGGCGGCCUGGUAAGGAACUUGUCGGCGGCCGGCGCGGAGCAAGGCUGGGGCCCGUUCGUCAGCUCCGCUGACGGCGACGAGAACCGCGCGUUCAAGGCGAUCUCCGUGCUGUGCCUCAGGGCGAACGCGGCCGCGGAGGCGGGGCCGCAGUACGUGACCGAGCUCUCCACCGCAGGUGAGACGAUGUCGACGGAGUCAGCCGUGUGGAGCUCGUCGGGGCCGUGCGAGGCCCCCCUGAAGUCCAUUCUGCCGGCGACCCUGCACGGGGCGUCCAAGGACGUCUAUCUCCGCGUACGCAUCAGCGUCGCAAAAAAGCCUCGGUUCUGGAAAAAGUUUCCCCACUCUUGGAAGUACGGGUUUUUGGGAAGACUUUGUUCGCUAUUGGAAUUAGGUUAUUUGCCGUCUGCCAGUUCUUUGCCGUCUUUGCCGUCCGCUUACAAAAACGGACAGCAAAGAACUGGCUGAUGGUAAAGAAGGAUUUUGUUAUCAGCCAGUUCUUUACCGUCCGCUAGCUGACGGCAAAGAGAGAGGUGCCCCACUUACGAGUUGAUUAGAUAAAACUUAACGGCUUCCCUAGCGGACGGCAAAGAGAGAAAAAUAGCGGACGGCAAAGCACGGCAGACGGCAAAGACCUAA
rnacentral:rRNA from 1 species